rnacentral:rRNA from 1 species
UACGUAGGGUGCGAGCGUUAAUCGGAAUUACUGGGCGUAAAGUGUGCGCAGGCGGCUGAGCAAGUCGAGUGUGAAAGCCCCGGGCUUAACUUGGGAACUGCAUUUGUGACUGGCAGGCUAGAGUAUGGCAGAGGGGGGUAGAAUUCCACGUGUAGCAGUGAAAUGCGUAGAGAUGUGGAGGAACACCGAUGGCGAAGGCAGCCCCCUGGGUCAAGAUUGACGCUCAUGCACGAAAGCGUGGGGAGCAAACAGG